rnacentral:rRNA from 1 species
GAUGAACGCUGGCGGCGUGCCUAAUACAUGCAAGUCGAGCGAACGGACGAGAAGCUUGCUUCUCUGAUGUUAGCGGCGGACGGGUGAGUAACACGUGGAUAACCUACCUAUAAGACUGGGAUAACUUCGGGAAACCGGAGCUAAUACCGGAUAAUAUUUUGAACCGCAUGGUUCAAAAGUGAAAGACGGUCUUGCUGUCACUUAUAGAUGGAUCCGCGCUGCAUUAGCUAGUUGGUAAGGUGACGGCUUACCAAGGCAACGAUGCAUAGCCGACCUGAGAGGGUGAUCGGCCACACUGGAACUGAGACACGGUCCAGACUCCUACGGGAGGCAGCAGUAGGGAAUCUUCCGCAAUGGGCGAAAGCCUGACGGAGCAACGCCGAGUGAGUGAUGAAGGUCUUCGGAUCGUAAAACUCUGUUAUUAGGGAAGAACAUAUGUGUAAGUAACUGUGCACAUCUUGACGGUACCUAAUCAGAAAGCCACGGCUAACUACGUG